GUUUAAUUCUGAGUUCUCAUUAAAAGAAAUUUGCUUUCAUUGUUAUAUUUCUUAAUUGCUAUGCUUCAGAAUCAAUUUGUGUUUUAUGCGCCACCCCCCCCCCCAUAUUGUAGAGCAAGUCUUGUAGGGAGAGUGUGUAGAU